rnacentral:rRNA from 1 species
GAUGAACGCUGGCGGCGUGCCUAAUACAUGCAAGUCGAGCGAACAGGCGAGGAGCUUGCUCCUCUGACGUUAGCGGCGGACGGGUGAGUAACACGUGGAUAACCUACCUAUAAGACUGGGAUAACUUCGGGAAACCGGAGCUAAUACCGGAUAAUAUAUUGAACCGCUUGGUUCAAUAGUGAAAGACGGUUUUGCUGUCACUUAUAGAUGGAUCCGCGCCGCAUUAGCUAGUUGGUAAGGUAACGGCUUACCAAGGCAACGAUGCGUAGCCGACCUGAGAGGGUGAUCGGCCACACUGGAACUGAGACACGGUCCAGACUCCUACGGGAGGCAGCAGUAGGGAAUCUUCCGCAAUGGGCGAAAGCUUGACGGAGCAACGCCGCGUGAGUGAUGAAGGUCUUCGGAUCGUAAAACUCUGUUAUUAGGGAAGAACAAAUGUGUAAGUAACUAUGCACGUCUUGACGGUACCUAAUCAGAAAGCCACGGCUAACUACGUG